CCCACCCUGCUGCUGUUGCUGGGCAGAGCCUGUCAGGGUUAAUAAUUGUGUGGGAGGAGCAAAGAGAGUCUUGUGAGUGGCCCCAGGUGCUGUGACUGACAGUGAGACAUGGGGUCGGCUGUGCUGCUGCUGCUGUUGCUGCUGAGCUCUCUGGGGACUGGGGGAGCAGUAACUCAGGACAUGGACACAAUGUGCAGAAACACAGGAGGCUUGUGCCUGCCAAGCUGCUCUCCUCCACUCUUUAACCGGGGCUUCUGUAGGAAUGGGCCCUGCUGCUCUCCAAUUCUGACCUGACUUACUGUAUCUGGAAGCAUCUGCACCCUGGGGCGAGACACCAUAAACUCAUGGGUCCCAUGAUCUCCGAAGAUUUCUGUAUCUUAAUGACAUGAUCUCACCAGGCUUGGACACCAUGAUCUUCCCAGAUCUCACCAGGCUUGGGCACCAUGAUAUUCCCAGAUCUCACCAGGCUUGGGCACCAUGAUCUUCCCAGAGCAGAGCCUUUAGCACCACAACCACCUUUCUCUUAUAUUUCUAGUCUUGCAAAAAUGAUCUGAUAUUGUCAGGAUGCCAGGUUUGGAGGGUGGUUAGAAGUCAGUACAGAAAUCUAGGUGCAGGGUGCUCUCCACCCUCUGUGGGAGUUGCUCAUGAUUAAGAGGACAAUGUCCCCAUGAUUUUUUCCCAAAGUACAAUAAACUUCCAUGGCUUAAAGAUCAUCAUCUCCCAGUCCUACAUACUCUCCUCUGUAAGGCUUCGACUCCAUUGUCUCACAAGCUUUGGGUACCAUGAAUCUAGAUAACCCCUAUGACUACGUAUCUGCUGAUACGAAACGCGUCAGGGAUCUGAUGGUUUUAACAAAGUUGGAAUAAAAAUGACCUUUUAACCUAUAUGGAUGGAAACGGAGUUCUCAUCUAUUAUUAAAAAUUGACCAUGAAUCUAGAUCCCUUCAGGCUUUGCAACCAUUUCCCAUGAAGCCCAACACUUUCUACAUUGGUGGUGGGCCUCAACCCUUGACACCUUGGCAGUGCUUUGUGCCAUUAGAUAAACAUGCUCCAGUCUGACAUUAAAGGGCAAAUGAUCUGCCCAUUUCUAUAAUAAUACAAAUAUAGAGAGACUCUGAGAUGCACCAGGCUGAUCAUACAGUAGUCUGAUUGACUCUGUCCCUGCUUUGGUCCUAAUAAAAACAUGGUGAGA